GAUGAAGAACGCAGCGAAAUGCGAUACUUGGUGUGAAUUGCAGAAUCCCGUGAACCAUCGAGUCUUUGAACGCAAGUUGCGCCCGAAGCCGUCAGGCCGAGGGCACGCCUGCCUGGGCGUCACACGCCGUUGCCCCCCCGCGCCCCUCACCCAACGCUUUGGGAGCGACCGCGGGGCGGGCUGAUGAUGGCCUCCCGUGCGCUCCGCCGCGCGGUUGGCCCAAAUACCGAGUCCCCGGCGACGUGCGCCACGACGAUCGGUGGUUGAGAGACCUCUGUCGCAAGUCGUGCGCGCCCGUCGCGUCACGCGGGCUCGCAUAGCGCCUCGCGCCGCACCCGGUGCGGAGCUUUCAACGCGACCCCAGGUCAGGCGGGGUUACCCGCUGAAUUUAAGCAUAUCAAUAAGCGGAGGA
rnacentral:misc_RNA from 1 species